rnacentral:rRNA from 1 species
AGCUCCAAGAGCGUAUAUUAAAGUUGUUGCAGUUAAAAAGCUCGUAGUUGAUCUUUGGGCUUGGCUGGCCGGUCCGUUUUUAACGAGUACUGGUUUUUUCAGCCGAGCCUUUCCUUCUGGUUAGCUCCUGUUAGGCUUGUCUUGGCAGGUAGUGAUCCAGGACUUUUACUUUGAAAAAAUUAGAGUGUUCAAAGCAAGCGUUUCGCUCGAAUAUAUUAGCAUGGAAUAAUGAAAUAGGACGUAUGGUUCUAUUUUGUUGGUUUCUAGGACCAUCGUAAUGAUUAAUAGGGACGGUCGGGGGCAUCAGUAUUCAGUUGUCAGAGGUGAAAUUCGUGGAUUUACUGAAGACUAACUACUGCGAAAGCAUUUGCCAAGGACGUUUUCA